AGAACAGCUACAUAGAGUGUCUGAUUCUAGAACAGAUACAUAUAAGUGUCUGAUUCUAGAACAGAUACAUAUAAGUGUCUGAUUCUAGAACAGGUGCAUAUUGUGUCUGAUUCUAGAACAAGUGUAUAUAGUGUCUGAUUCUAGAAUAGAUAUAAGUGUCUGAUUCUAGAACAGCUACAUAGAGUGUCUGAUUCUAGAACAGGUGCAUAUUGUGUCUGAUUCUAGAACAAGUGUAUAUAGUGUCUGAUUCUAGAAUAGCUAUAAGUGUCUGAUUCUAGAACAGCUACAUAGAGUGUCUGAUUCUAGAACAUGUGCAUAUAGUGUCUGAUUCUAGAACAGCUACAUAGAGUGUCUGAUUCUAGAACAUGUGCAUAUAGUGUCUGAUUCUAGAACAGCUACAUAGAGUGUCUGACUCUAGAACAGGUGUAUAUAGUGUCUGAUUCUAGAAUAGAUAUAAGUGUCUGAUUCUAGAACAGCUACAUAGAGUGUCUGAUUCUAGAACAGGUGUAUAUAGUGUCUGAUUCUAGAAUAGAUAUACGUGUCUGAUUCUAGAACAGGUGUAUAUAGUGUCUGAUUCUAGAAUAGAUAUACGUGUCUGAUUCUAGAACAGAUAUUACGUGUCUGAUUCUAGAACAGGUGUAUAUAGUGUCUGAUUCUAGAACAGCUACAUAGAGUGUCUGAUUCUAGAACAGAUACAUAAGUGUCUGACUCUAGAACAGGUGUAUAUAGUGUCUGAUUCUAGAAUAGAUAUAAGUGUCUGAUUCUAGAACAGCUACAUAGAGUGUCUGAUUCUAGAACGGGUGUAUAUAGUGUCUGAUUCUAGAAUAGAUAUACGUGUCUGAUUCUAGAACAGAUAUUACGUGUCUGAUUCUAGAACAGGUGUAUAUAGUGUCUGAUUCUAGAACAGCUACAUAGAGUGUCUGAUUCUAGAACAGAUACAUAUAAGUGUCUGAUUCUAGAACAGAUACAUAUAAGUGUCUGAUUCUAGAACAGGUGCAUAUUGUGUCUGAUUCUAGAACAAGUGUAUAUAGUGUCUGAUUCUAGAAUAGAUAUAAGUGUCUGAUUCUAGAACAGCUACAUAGAGUGUCUGAUUCUAGAACAGGUGCAUAUUGUGUCUGAUUCUAGAACAAGUGUAUAUAGUGUCUGAUUCUAGAAUAGAUAUAAGUGUCUGAUUCUAGAACAGCUACAUAGAGUGUCUGAUUCUAGAACAUGUGCAUAUAGUGUCUGAUUCUAGAACAGCUACAUAGAGUGUCUGACUCUAGAACAGGUGUAUAUAGUGUCUGAUUCUAGAAUAGAUAUAAGUGUCUGAUUCUAGAACAGCUACAUAGAGUGUCUGAUUCUAGAACAGGUGUAUAUAGUGUCUGAUUCUAGAAUAGAUAUAAGUGUCUGAUUCUAGAACAGGUGUAUAUAGUGUCUGAUUCUAGAAUAGAUAUACGUGUCUGAUUCUAGAACAGAUAUUAAGUGUCUGAUUCUAGAACAGGUGUAUAUAGUGUCUGAUUCUAGAACAGCUACAUAGAGUGUCUGAUUCUAGAACAGAUACAUAUAAGUGUCUGAUUCUAGAACAGCUGUAUAUAGUGUCUGAUUCUAGAACAGAUAUAAGUGUCUGAUUCUAGAACAGCUACAUAGAGUGUCUGAUUCUAGAACAGGUGCAUAUAGUG